rnacentral:rRNA from 1 species
UACGUAGGGUGCGAGCGUUGUCCGGAAUUAUUGGGCGUAAAGGGCUCGUAGGCGGUUUGUCGCGUCGGGAGUGAAAAUCCAGGGCUUAACUCUGGACUGGCUUCCGAUACGGGCAGACUAGAGGUAUGCAGGGGAGAACGGAAUUCCUGGUGUAGCGGUGAAAUGCGCAGAUAUCAGGAGGAACACCGGUGGCGAAGGCGGGUCUCUGGGCCAUAACUGACGCUGAGGAGCGAAAGCGUGGGGAGCGAACAGG